rnacentral:rRNA from 1 species
CAAAAGCGUAUAUUAAAGUUGUUGCAGUUAAAAAGCUCGUAGUUGAACCUUGGGCUUGGCUGGCCGGUCCAUCUUUUUUGAUGCGUACUGGACCCAGCCGAGCCUUUCCUUCUGGCUAGCCUUUUGGCGAACCAGGACUUUUACUUUGAAAAAAUUAGAGUGUUCAAAGCAGGCCUUUGCCCGAAUAUAUUAGCAUGGAAUAAUAGAAUAGGACGUUAUGGUUCUAUUUUGUUGGUUUCUAGGACCAUCGUAAUGAUUAAUAGGGACGGUCGGGGGUAUCAGUAUUCAGUUGUCAGAGGUGAAAUUCUUGGAUUUACUGAAGACUAACUACUGCGAAAGCAUUUACCAAGGACGUUUUCAUUAA